rnacentral:rRNA from 1 species
GACGAACGCUGGCGGCGUGCUUAACACAUGCAAGUCGAGCGGUAAGGCCCUUUCGGGGGUACACGAGCGGCGGACGGGUGAGUAACACGUGGGUGACCUGCCCUCAGCUCUGGGAUAAGCCUGGGAAACCGGGUCUAAUACUGGAUAUGACUCCAUGACGCAUGUUGUGGGGUGGAAAGCCUUGUGCGGCUGAGGAUGGGCCCGCGGCCUAUCAGCUUGUUGGUGGGGUGANGGCCUACCAAGGCGACGACGGGUAGCCGGCCUGAGAGGGCGACCGGCCACACUGGGACUGAGACACGGCCCAGACUCCUACGGGAGGCAGCAGUGGGGAAUCUUGCGCAAUGGGCGAAAGCCUGACGCAGCGACGCCGCGUGAGGGAUGACGGCCU